CCUACGGGUGGCAGCAGUCGGGAAUAUUGCGCAAUGGGGGAAACUCUGACGCAGUGACGCCGCGUGUAGGAAGAAGGUUUUCGGAUUGUAAACUAUUGUCGUUAGGGAAGAUAAAGUACUGUACCAAAGAAGAAGCCCCCGGCUAACUCGGUCCCAGCAGCCGCGGUAAUACGUGGGGGGCAAGCGUUAUCCGGAAUUAUUGGGGGUAAAGGGUGCGUAGACGGAAGACCAAGUUGGUUGUGAAAUCCCUCGGCUUAACUGAGGAACUGCAACCAAAACUAUUCUUCUUGAGUGUCGGAGAGGAAAGUGGAAUUCCUAGUGUAGCGGUGAAAUGCGUAGAGAUGAGGAGGAACACCAGUGGCGAAGGCGACCUCCUGGACGAUAACUGACGUUGAGGCACGAAAGCGUGGGGAGCAAACAGGAUUAGAUACCCCAGUAGUC
rnacentral:rRNA from 1 species